rnacentral:rRNA from 1 species
UAGGGAAUCUUCCACAAUGGACGCAAGUCUGAUGGAGCAACACCGCGUGAGUGAAGAAGGUUUUCGGAUCGUAAAGCUCUGUUGUUGGUGAAGAAGGAUAGAGGCAGUAACUGGUCUUUAUUUGACGGUAAUCAACCAGAAAGUCACGGCUAACUACGUGCCAGCAGCCGCAGUAAUACGUAGGUGGCAAGCGUUGUCCGGAUUUAUUGGGCGUAAAGCGAGCGCAGGCGGAAUGAUAAGUCUGAUGUGAAAGCCCACGGCUCAACCGUGGAACUGCAUCGGAAACUGUCAUUCUUGAGUGCAGAAGAGGAGAGUGGAAUUCCAUGUGUAGCGGUGGAAUGCGUAGAUAUAUGGAAGAACACCAGUGGCGAAGGCGGCUCUCUGGUCUGCAACUGACGCUGAGGCUCGAAAGCAUGGGUAGCGAACAGG